CCUGAUGUGAUGCAAAUAUUCUUUGACAAUUCUUUUUUUUCUCAAUAUUUGACGAAUUGUCCAUCUAUCGACAUCUCGGGAUCAAAUAAUGGAAGAUGCUUGAUUUUUGUAGUAUUCUUUGGCUGAUGCAAAUCUAGAUAAGGGUCAUGAUUCAUGAAAGUCUGUCAGAGCUGAGAAUUGUAUCUAUAGUUUUUACAAAUAGACAAAAAGGUAAUACAUUAGGACACGUGUAUCUCUGACAAUUGUUUUGAUAUAAAGAAGGUCCCAAUUUCCAGCCUGAGAAUCCAUUCUGGAAGCUCCAGUCAUUGAGACAAGCUCACUUUUUGAUCUGCACCUACGUAAGACAAUCUCGGUCUUUUCGUCCCGAAAAAGUAACAAUGAGGUUCCCUGUGUUGUUCGGUCUUCUCUUGACUUUGGCUCUGGCCAGUACUGGAGUCCACAGCAGGCAAAUUGAUAUGUCUUAUGCGAAUUACGCUGCUGGCGAUUUUGAUGAUAGGUUGGACGGACCCUCUGGUGAUGGCCCUUCAGUCUAUUUCCCUACUGUCGAGGAAUACUGGACUGAUAAUGCAUCUGGUGAUGAGAGUCUUCUCAGAGUCGAUGGAUCCGGGGGUGAGGAUAGAUCUGGUGAUGGCCCCUCUGGCGAUUUCCCUGUUGAAUAUGAAUACUGGACUGAUGAUUGGUGGGGCGAUCUCCGGCUCCACGGACUCCAUUGAUGGUGAACAAGACUUCUAGGAUAUAGGUUGCCUCUUGUAAAAGAGACCGUGAAGACAUUCCAAUUAUCAAUGGGUCACUAUAGAAAUGAUUUUGCAAUUGAAAUAUAUGAAAAUUGUUGAACUUCUAAA